rnacentral:rRNA from 1 species
GACGAACGCUGGCGGCGUGCCUAACACAUGCAAGUCGAGCGAAGUGCUUUAAGAAGAUUCCUUCGGGAUGAAACUUUUAGUAUCUUAGCGGCGGACGGGUGAGUAACGCGUGAGAAACCUGCCUCUUACAAAGGGAUAGCCUCGGGAAACCGGGAUUAAUACCUUAUGAGACCACAGUAUCGCAUGAUACAGUGGUUAAAGCGCAAAGCGGUAAGAGAUGGUCUCGCGUCCCAUUAGCUAGUUGGUGAGAUAACAGCCCACCAAGGCAACGAUGGGUAGCCGGCCUGAGAGGGUGAACGGCCACACUGGAACUGAGACACGGUCCAGACUCCUACGGGAGGCAGCAGUGGGGAAUAUUGCACAAUGGGCGAAAGCCUGAUGCAGCGACGCCGCGUGAAUGAUGAAGGUCUUCGGAUCGUAAAAUUCUGUCCUAAGGGAAGAUAAUGACGGUACCUUAGGAGGAAGCACCGGCUAACUACGUG